rnacentral:rRNA from 1 species
UACGUAGGGUGCUAGCGUUGUCCGGAAUCACUGGGCGUAAAGGGCGCGUAGGCGGCUCAUGAAGGCUGUGGUGAAAGUCCGGGGCUCAACCUCGGAUCGGCCGUGGCGACUCGUGGGCUGGAGCACUGUAGAGGCGGGUGGAAUUCCGGGUGUAGCGGUGGAAUGCGUAGAGAUCCGGAAGAACACCAGUGGCGAAGGCGGCCCGCUGGGCAGUGGCUGACGCUGAGGCGCGACAGCGUGGGGGAGCAAACAGG